GGCGAGUGGGCAUCUGGUACAUGUGUUUUCACUAAGUUGGUCAUGACUAGAUCCCACACUCGUCCGG
rnacentral:pre_miRNA from 1 species